GAAGUUUGACAGACAAUCGCCGGCAGCGAUCGCGCUGCGGGAGGAAAGUCCGGGCUCCACAGGGCAGGAUGCUGGAUAACGUCCAGUCGGCGCGAGCCGAAGGAUAGUGCCACAGAAACGGACCGCCGAUGGGCCGCCAAGUGCGGCCACAGGCAAGGGUGGAACCGUGGUGUAAGAGACCACGAGCGGUGCUGGUGACAGUACGGCUGGUAAACCCCAUCUGGAGCAAGACCGAGAGGACGCGGCGGCUACGGCCGCAGCUCUGGCACCGGAGCGCGUCCGGGUUGGUCGCUGGAACCGUUCAGCAAUGGGCGGUCUAGACAGAUGAUUGUCGCUUCAUCCGUGGGAGGGUCGUUCCCGCUUGGACCACGCGAAGUACAGAACCCGGCUUACGGCAAACUUCCCGC
rnacentral:RNase_P_RNA from 1 species